CAGUACCUUCUGCAACCACCAGCAACAGAUAAGUUAUUGGUUUCACUUCUUAGGAAACAGGAAGGAGUUAUAACGGCUCACACAGACAGACAACAAUUCCCUAUCAGCAGCACACUAACAAAGGAUGAUGAGGAUGUCAGGCAGAGUCAUGAGUUGCUUUGCAGCUCUGUUCCUUGCACUGGCAUCUGUGUCAGCUGUAGAAAGACUCAAUUCAAUUAAUGAUUUGAAGAAAAUCAACUUUGGUCAAUCUGUGCCCAAACACACUCUUCUACUUCUCCACUGGUUUGCCAACGUAGUUGAAAUCGACAGCAACAACAUCAUACGGUUGACCUUUGAUCCAAACAAUGAAGAUUUUGGAUCGCAUCAUUAUGGCAACUUUGAGGGGAUGCUGGAGCCAACUCCUUAUGGUUACAAGUACUACACUGUUGGCAAUCUCCUUCUAGACGAACGUAAACAACUUCCAGAUUAUGUCACUCAUCCCCGGACAGAGUAUGAGGGAAGAAACUGGGACCGGAUCGUGUUCAGAGUCAGGCUGCAGAACACAGGAUGGCAAACUUUGCAACAGAUAGAUCAAGUGUACAUCACACAGCAUUAUGGGAUCCCUGGAAAUACGACAUAUGAUCCUGAACAUACCUAUGAGAUCACGACUAACCUCCUGAGACAGAUCCGAGAGUUUUCUGUGAGCGCAAACCAGUCACGGAGGAUUCUCAGAAAUCGCUAUGGAAGUAACACUAGUGAUUUACAGUUAAAAGAAAUCAGAAACACAUGGGGGAACCUUGCUUGUCUUGGACUGCUGUUGUUUAUUGUGAUCCAUGAAAGGUACAACUUUGACCAACAAAGGGCCAGCCUUCAGAAUGAGAUAAAAGGAGGAGGAAAUGAGGUUGUGACACGACUUGACAUUCCUGAUUACAACUUCCAAGGCCCCAGACUAAAUCAUGGGAAUGAUGACACAAGGUUUUUUCUCAUUUUAGUGGUUAUAUGUUUAUUUGUCUUGGCAGUGCUUUUUAGAGGUUAGAAAAGAUGACAAGAAAUGAGAAAGCUGUUUACAAACCAAACGUUUCAGCUUAUUACUUUUUUUUAUAAAAUUAUAUUUAUCUUCACAAAAGAAAUAAAAGACGAAAAAUACAAUACUUUUAAGAUGAUUGGGAAUCAAGCAGUUAAGAAUGAUCAGUGGACCUGGAUAAGGGCUAUUUCUAAAAGCUAGUAUAUGCUUUGUUUUGCUUUCAUGUUUAUUUAAAUGAUGCUACAUUAUUUUCUUAACACUGUUCAGGUAAAUAUUGAGAUAGAGGUUGUGUUCAUGGACCAAAUACUGAAAAAUCACAGAGAGUCUCCAGUGUGUCACUUCAGGUCAGCACUAAUUGAGGCUAAAGUACCAACGUAAAAACUAUCUGAGUACAUGAUCUUCACAAAGUGUAGACAUCAGUUAAAGACAGUGGUGUAAUGUUAAUUCAGAUUAAGACAUGCAUAUUCAAAUUUAAUUUGUAAGAAUCUUACUUUCCUGGGAAAAUUACAUAACAAAAGAUUAAGGACAUGUUUUACAUUUAUUAGACCAAGACGUUUGGUCCAAGGAGUUCUACUUACAAAAAAAAAUUUCACAUUUAAUUAUAGUACACACUCUUCUUUAAAAAGACUAUUUUUGUACACAGUAACGCAUUAUACUGGUCUUAACGCUUCUAGCUUAAUUCAUAUUCAAUGUCAUGCUCCAGCACGUCUUAUCCAAUAGUGGUGACUCACUGUUCUUUCAUAUGUGUUUCCUAGAGAUGAAAAGAAAGUAAAUAGAUCUGAUGCAUAUAUGAGAACCACAAGUGAAAGGAUCUUUGGCAUGUUAAGCAUUGAUAAUGUAUUAGCAUUAAACAAAUAGAUGUAUAUUUUACACAUGGUUUUGUACUUUUGCUACAAUGUUGUAAAUGGGGUGUUGAUGGAAUACAUGCUGCUGUUUGUUUUGUGUGUAAAUAAAAGGUUUAAAAGACAA